AGGGAAUCUUCCACAAUGGACGCAAGUCUGAUGGAGCAACGCCGCGCGAGUGAAGAAGGCUUUCGGGUCGUAAAACUCUGUUGUUGGAGAAGAAUGGUCGGCAGAGUAACUGUUGUCGGCGUGACGGUAUCCAACCAGAAAGCCACGGCUAACUACGUGCCAGCAGCCGCGGUAAUACGUAGGUGGCAAGCGUUAUCCGGAUUUAUUGGGCGUAAAGCGAGCGCAGGCGGUUUUUUAAGUCUGAUGUGAAAGCCCUCGGCUUAACCGAGGAAGUGCAUCGGAAACUGGGAAACUUGAGUGCAGAAGAGGACAGUGGAACUCCAUGUGUAGCGGUGAAAUGCGUAGAUAUAUGGAAGAACACCAGUGGCGAAGGCGGCUGUCUGGUCUGUAACUGACGCUGAGGCUCGAAAGCAUGGGUAGCGAACAGGAUUAGAUACCCUGGUAGUCCAUGCCGUAAACGAUGAAUGCUAGGUGUUGGAGGGUUUCCGCCCUUCAGUGCCGCAGCUAACGCAUUAAGCAUUCCGCCUGGGGAGUACGACGCAAGGUUGAA
rnacentral:rRNA from 1 species